rnacentral:tmRNA from 1 species
GGGGGUGAGAAUGGAGGUCGAGGAGGAAUAAAGAAAUCAUUGGAGCUGGCAGGUUGGCAACCUUAACAGCUAAAUAAGUGCCAACAGAGUCCCAGCUUACGCUCUUUCGUAAAGAAGAGCGGCUUCUAAGAAGCUUAGCGGAGGAGCUUCUUAGGGGUUAAAAUUUCUCCGCUAGGUUUUAGGUGAUGGCUCUAGCCUAAAACCGAAAUUAAAGAGCCUUUGCUUCUCGAAGGUUUGUUUGUUUCCCUUCGAGAAGUCAAAUUUAAAAAACAAACUGCGCCAGGAGAGCCAAUGAUUUCUUUUCCUCCGAUGGGGGUUCGACUCCCCCCACCUCCACUU